rnacentral:lncRNA from 1 species
AUAGCAAAGGAUCAAUAUAUAAAAGUAGUGGGAACUUGCAUGCUGAACAAAAUCUAGGUGUGCCAGAGUUUGGUUUUGAUAGGAUUAAACUCAAAAAGAGAUUGUUCACUGCAUCCUGUAGCAGCAUUUUAGUGUUGUGUUUUUUUUUUUAACAGUUAUUAUUGUGAACACUUUGGAUUCAGAUCUUCAGCUGCUGUAAAUUUUUGGUUCUUUAUUGAUGUCUCCAAGAGAAUAGUGAUUUGCAUCAGCUGAAUGGAUGGCCUUCUAGGUGGAUGCAUUUUUGUGGUGUCUUUUGGCUUGUUUUGGUCACCUUCCAGGUACUGGAGCAACAUAGCUGAGUUGUGGGUUGACUUACGCUUGCAUCACUACCCUGAACCUGAUUGUGUCUGCAGUCAUCUGGAACUGACUACAUGCCUAGACUGAUAAAACAUGCCGUGCAAACAUGAAUCUCUCUGAGGCCAUGGCAAGAUGCUUUUGCAGUAUCCUGUCCCUCUAUUGCCUGGACUUCUGGAAGACAGGAGAGUGAGAAUCAGCGGUGAUUGUUUUCCUACCGGCGCAGUUUGAGAACUACUUUGACAGCCAAUAGAACAGGAACUACCUUGCAGUGUUGCCACCGCAAGUGCAUGCUCUUUCUGACAGUGUAUGAUUGCGCUGUGUCCGCAGCGGGGAAUGAUGCCAGAAUUGCCGUCUAAUCAUCCAUAUUCUUUUCUCAUACUGUAACCAAGUUGUUUUCCAAAAACGUUCAUGCAAAAAUGCAAAGAUUCUCCACGUAGAAUAAAGUAGGCCUAUAGGGCCUAAGGAAGGGCUGG